rnacentral:tRNA from 1 species
GUCGGGAUAGCUCAGCUGUAGAGCAGAGA